AGUGAGGGAAGCGGAGACUCUGCAGGGCCUCCAAGGCCAGGCUUCAGGGCUGGGACUCAGUCCUGAGGCACUGGGGAGCCAUGAGGGGCUGUGGCAGGGAGGGGCAGGGUCUUCUCCCUGAUCGUCUUCUCCUCCCUGCUGACCGACGGCUACCAGAACAAGAUGGAGUCUCCGCAGCUCCACUGCAUUCUCAACAGCAACAGCGUGGCCUGCAGCUUUGCCGUGGGAGCCGGCUUCCUGGCCUUCCUCAGCUGCCUGGCCUUCCUCGUCCUGGACACACAGGAGACCCGCAUUGCCGGCACCCGCUUCAAGACAGCCUUCCAGCUCCUGGACUUCAUCCUGGCUGAUAUUCCAGGCCUACCUGGCAUUCCAGGACCUCCGAAAUGAUGCUCCAGUCCCUUACAAGCGCUUCCUGGAUGAGGGUGGCAUGGUGCUGACCACCCUCCCCUUGCCCUCUGCCAACAGCCCUGUGAACAUGCCCACCACUGGCCCCAACAGCCUGAGUUAUGCUAGCUCUGCCCUGUCCCCCUGUC
rnacentral:lncRNA from 1 species